UUUGGCUCUUCUCUCGUUAAAAUGGAUGAUGUGAUAGAGAUCAAGUCAAGUGAAUGCUCAAGCUCAGACUCAAGCUCAGACUUGGACUCAAGCUCAGACAUUGUUAAACUUGUAAAAGAAAAACAUCAGCUUGCGAUUUCAGCUCGCACUAAACUACCACGCAUGAAUUAUUCAUAAUUCUUAGAAACAGAGUCGGAGAUUUCACUUACAAUCCAUUUUAACGAGAGAAGAGCCAAAGAGACGCACGUGAGGUUGCUACAUCGCUGUGCCCUACCGCUGAUCACUCGUUCCCAGAUCCCUGUUCCCCGCUCCCCGUUUUAGUAACAUCCAUGUUGAAUUUUCCAUCAUCAUCA